rnacentral:tRNA from 1 species
UGGCAGGUAGCGUAGUGGUAGAGUGCACGAGUUGUAUGUAUGAUGUCCUGGGUUCAAUCGCCAGCUUCUCCC